rnacentral:rRNA from 1 species
UACAGAGGGUGCAAACGUUGUUCGGAAUCACUGGGCGUAAGCGGGUGUAGGCGGCCUUGCAAGUCGGGUGUGAAAUCCCAAGGCUCAACCUUGGACGUGCACUCGAAACUGCUCGGCUAGAGUCCUGGAGAGGAAGGUGGAAUGCUUGGUGUAGAGGUGAAAUUCGUAGAUAUCAAGCGGAACACCGGUGGCGAAGGCGGCCUUCUGGACAGUGACUGACGCUGAGACCCGAAAGCGUGGGGAGCAAACAGG